rnacentral:rRNA from 1 species
AGAGUUUGAUCCUGGCUCAGAUUGAACGCUGGCGGAAUGCUUUACACAUGCAAGUCGAACGAUGAACCUUAGCUUGCUAAGGGGAUUAGUGGCGAACGGGUGAGUAAUAUAUCGGAACGUGCCUUGUAAUGGGGGAUAACUAGUCGAAAGAUUAGCUAAUACCGCAUACGCCCUGAGGGGGAAAGUAGGGGAUCUUCGGACCUUACGUUAUAAGAGCGGCCGAUAUCUGAUUAGCUAGUUGGUGGGGUAAUGGCCUACCAAGGCGACGAUCAGUAGCUGGUCUGAGAGGACGACCAGCCACACUGGAACUGAGACACGGUCCAGACUCCUACGGGAGGCAGCAGUGGGGAAUUUUGGACAAUGGGCGAAAGCCUGAUCCAGCCAUUCCGCGUGAGUGAAGAAGGCCUUCGGGUUGUAAAGCUCUUUCGCAAGGGAAGAAAACUUACAUUCUAAUAAAGUGUGAGGCUGACGGUACCUUGAUAAGAAGCACCGGCUAACUACGUGCCAGCAGCCGCGGUAAUACGUAGGGUGCGAGCGUUAAUCGGAAUUACUGGGCGUAAAGCGUGCGCAGGCGGUUUGGCAAGUCAGAUGUGAAAUCCCCGAGCUCAACUUGGGAACUGCGUUUGAAACUGCCAGACUAGAAUAUGUCAGAGGGGGGUAGAAUUCCACGUGUAGCAGUGAAAUGCGUAGAGAUGUGGAGGAAUACCAAUGGCGAAGGCAGCCCCCUGGGAUAACAUUGACGCUCAUGCACGAAAGCGUGGGGAGCAAACAGGAUUAGAUACCCUGGUAGUCCACGCCCUAAACGAUGUCUACUAGUUGUUGGUGGAGUAAAAUCCAUGAGUAACGCAGCUAACGCGUGAAGUAGACCGCCUGGGGAGUACGGUCGCAAGAUUAAAACUCAAAUGAAUUGACGG